rfam:Asian citrus Psyllid, Diaphorina citri - Florida Strain, whole genome shotgun sequence.
GCCAGAGACGAUAGCACGUUGAAUUCACCAGUUCCCGAUGGUUCUCUGAGUGAAGCAACGUUGCGCGUGGUUAGUACCCGGAUGGGUGACCGUCUGGGCAUUCGCGUGCUGUUGGCU